rnacentral:piRNA from 1 species
UNCUCAUGUAAAUCGUCAAGUGCCAAUGA